rnacentral:snoRNA from 1 species
GUUGUUUGCAUGAUGAUUGCAUAGUUCAUCUGAUUCAACCAAUGAUAACAUUACAUGUUUAGCAAAUGUCUUUCGCUCCUAUCUGACUACACACCUU